rnacentral:rRNA from 1 species
GAUCAUGGCUCAGGACGAACGCUGGCGGCGUGCUUAACACAUGCAAGUCGAACGGUGAAAGAGGAGCUUGCUCCUCUGGAUCAGUGGCGAACGGGUGAGUAACACGUGAGCAAUCUGCCCCGAACUCUGGGAUAAGCGCUGGAAACGGCGUCUAAUACCGGAUACGACGCGCGAGGGCAUCCUCUGCGCGCGGAAAGAACUUCGGGUUCGGGAUGAGCUCGCGGCCUAUCAGCUUGUUGGUGAGGUAACGGCUCACCAAGGCGACGACGGUAGCCGGCCUGAGAGGGUGACCGGCCACACUGGGACUGAGACACGGCCCAGACUCCUACGGGAGGCAGCAGUGGGGAAUAUUGCACAAUGGGCGCAAGCCUGAUGCAGCAACGCCGCGUGAGGGACGACGGCCUUCGGGUUGUAAACCUCUUUUAGCAGGGAAGAAGCGAAAGUGACGGUACCUGCAGAAAAAGCGCCGGCUAACUACGUG